GACGAACGCUGGCGGCGUGCUUAACACAUGCAAGUCGAACGGAAAGGCCCUGCUUUUGUGGGGUGCUCGAGGGGCGAACGGGUGUGUAACACGUGAGUAACCUGCCCUUGGCUGUGUGAUAACUUCAGGAAACUGGUGCUAAUACCUGAUAGGAGCUCCUGCUGCAUGGUGGGGGUUGGACAGUUUAGGCGGUAGGGGAUGGACUCGCGGCUUAUCAGCUUGUUGGUGGAGUAGUGGCUUACCAAGGCUUUGACGGGUAGCCGGCAUGAGAGGGUGACCGGGGACAAUGGGACUGAGAUACGGACCAGACUGCAACGGGAGGCAGUAGUGGGAAAUAUUGUACAAUGGGGGGAAGUCUGAGGCAGCAACGCCGCGUGCGGGAUGACGGCCUGCGGGGUGUAAAACGCUUUCGCCUGUGACGAAGCGUGAGUGACGGUAAUGGGUAAAGAAGCACCGGCUAACUACGUG
rnacentral:rRNA from 1 species